AUGCCGGGGCCUCUCUCUGUGCCCCUGGCACGCCUCUGUGCAGGCCGGGCCUGCACCACCCCCCGCGCCCGUCCCCCAGGCAGGGUCCGUGUGGCUGCAGACACCCAGAGAGGGGAGGCUGGGGAGGCUGGGGAGCCGUGGCAGCCCGAUGCAGUGCGGGUCUCCAGGUGGAGGGGCCCUGGUCCCCUGGCGCCAGCGUGGCCCUUCCUCCUUGUGGAAACCCUUGUGGUGUGUGUGCUCUCUCGCCCUGACCCAGGAGAGCAGCAUGGCGGACCCCUGAUCUUGUGGCGUGCCACCGCGCGAGGCCGAGGAGCUCCCGCAGCCCAGUGGGCGUGGCGUCCUUGUCGCGGCUCUGUGGAGACCUGGCGAUGGAGAGCAGCAUGGCGGACCCCUGAUCUUGUGGCGUGCCACCGCGCGAGGCCGAGGAGCUCCCGCAGCCCAGUGGGCGUGGCGUCCUUGUCGCGGCUCUGUGGAGACCUGGCGAUGGUGAGCGGCCCCUGUCCUCAGUGGUGGAGAACUCGCCCUUGGGGCGCUCGUCUGUCCGGAGCCCCGGGCCAGCCCCGCUUCUCGCGGGCUUUGGCCCCGGCAGGCCAGCUCCGGGGGCGUGAGGGGGAGCGUCCCGUCCUGCCCAGUGGCUCGUCUGUCUGGGCACGCCCCCAAACGCUGCCGUGAUGGAGCGGGUGGGAUGUCCAGGUGCGGAGGCCGUGAAUUUGCCUUGCGGCGGCGGAGCCCGUGCUCGGAUCGAUGAUGACUCCCUCUAAAGCAUUCCUUGGAAAUCUGAACAAAAUGAGUGAGAACUCACUACCGUCUCCUCAUCGAAACUGAGGUCCGGCACGUGGCGGCCACCGGGGGCUCGGGGGUAGAUGGGCCCUUGGCCUUGGGGCCUCUGUGUGUCAGCAGCCACUCGGGUGAGGUCUGGGGAAGGCGGCCGCCUGCCGGGCCCAGGAAGCAUGGGGCCCGUCGCCCGGCGCUGGCCUCGGGGGCGAGGCCGCGUGCCCGAGCGUGCUGGAGAUCCCGGGCGGCCUCCCGCCGGCCUUGGGGGGUUUCGCAAGCCGUCGCGGGGGCCGAAAUUUGGGCCCGGCCCGCGAGGCAAGUGUGCGGCCCUAGGGCCCCAGGGGGCGUCCUGGCCCAGGCCGGGCGCCCUUCUCAGGAUGCUGUGGGGAGACGGGAUCCCGGCAGGGUAGUGUUCUCUUUCUGCUCUGGGGACCCCUGAGGGCCACCUGCUGCAGGGGGUCUGUGGUAGCGGGGGCCCUUGGAUCAGGGCCGUCCCCCAUGGGCGAGGGGGGAGCCUGGGAACCCCUGAGGGCGCUCCCCUGGGACGUCCAGGGAUGUUGGGGCGGAGGCUGGGGCUGGGUGGCGAGAAGGGGGCAGCUGAAGUGGUGAGCGACAGGCGGGCAGAGGGAGCCUGCCGGGGACGUGGGUGGACAGGCCCACGUCUGGAUGGGCGGGGCUCUGGAGGAGGUGCCCUGGCCUCAAGUGGGAUGGCGUCAGCGGCUGUGGGAGGCCCGGGUAGGCAAGGACCGCGCGGGCAGGGGCGGGGACGGUCUUGCAUGUGGCCUCUCCUCUGGGAGGCGUGGCUCCCCGUGGGGGUCUGGGGAAGGCAGCCGCCAGGUCCCUGGGCCGCGGCGCGACCGCACCUUGGGGGGGUCCUUUGGGAGGCCACGGGUCGGAG
ensembl:lncRNA